GGAGCCGUGUCUGAGUGGUCGAAGGUACAUCUUUGCUAAAGAUGCAGGGGCUUUAAAACCCCUCGAGGGUUCGAAUCCCUCCGGCUCCGCAA
rnacentral:tRNA from 1 species